rnacentral:rRNA from 1 species
GUGAGGAAUAUUGGUCAAUGGGCGAGAGCCUGAACCAGCCAAGUCGCGUGAAGGAAGAAGGAUCUAUGGUUCGUAAACUUCUUUUGCAGGGGAAUAAAGUGCAGGACGUGUCCUGUUUUGUAUGUACCCUGAGAAGAAGGAUCGGCUAACUCCGUGCCAGCAGCCGCGGUAAUACGGAGGAUCCGAGCGUUAUCCGGAUUUAUUGGGUUUAAAGGGUGCGUAGGUGGUUUGAUAAGUCAGCGGUGAAAGUUUGCAGCUUAACUGUAAAAAUGCCGUUGAAACUGUCGGACUUGAGUGUAAAUGAGGUAGGCGGAAUGCGUGGUGUAGCGGUGAAAUGCAUAGAUAUCACGCAGAACUCCGAUUGCGAAGGCAGCUUACUAAGCUACAACUGACACUGAAGCACGAAAGCGUGGGGAUCAAACAGGAUUAGAUACCCCUGUAGUCC